rnacentral:rRNA from 1 species
CCUACGGGAGGCAGCAGUGAGGAAUAUUGGUCAAUGGGCGGGAGCCUGAACCAGCCAAGUCGCGUGAGGGAAGACGGUCCUAUGGAUUGUAAACCUCUUUAGGCGGGGAGCAAUGCCGGGCACGCGUGCCCGGCGGGAGAGUACCCCCAGAAUAUGCCUCGGCUAACUCCGUGCCAGCAGCCGCGGUAAUACGGGGGAUGCGAGGGUUAUCCGAAUUUUUUGGGUUUAAAGGGUGCGUAGGCGGAUGUUUUAGUCAGCGGUAAAAUGUCCGGGCUCAACCCGGGCCGUCCGUUGAAACUGGGGAGCUGGAGUGGGCGAGAAGUAGGCGGAAUGCGUGGUGUAGCGGUGAAAUGCAGAGAUAUCACGCAGAACUCCGAUUGCGAAGGCAGCAUACCGGAGCCCGACUGACGCUGAGGCACGAAAGCGUGGGGAUCGAACAGGAUUAGAUACCCUAGUAGUC